GCCGGGGUGGCGAAACUGGCAGACGCGCAGGAUUUAGGAUCCUGUGUCCGAAUAGGACGUGGAGGUUCAACUCCUCUCUCCGGCA
rnacentral:tRNA from 1 species